GAAUCCAGCUGCUACCUGUGCUCAUAGGGGCCCAGGGGAAAAAAAACGUUGUUCACUAUGCAGGGGAGAGCCAACAUGUGUCAACUACUGCAGGGAGGUCAAGGAAGAUAAUGGCUUAACAGUUGCAUUGGAUUCUGCAAUAAAGUAGUCAUCGAUGACCUUGCUGAGAGCAGUUUCAGGAGAGUGAUGAGGGCAGGAGCCAGAUUGCAAUGGGUGGAAUACAGAGUGGGAAGGAAAGAAGCAUAGAAACAGCCACACAUGUCUCUUUACAGAGAAAGCAGUGGGUGAAAAGUGCCAUGGGGCCGGAAAGGACUUGGAUAUACAAGAUGGAAGGCUUGAGCAUGUUCAAGAGCUGAAAGGUCAAGGGCAAGAGAGAGAGAGAGAGGGACAGGAUGAAUACACAGGCAAGAGAGAGGGAGAAGUGUCCAAGUCAGGCUGCUAAGGAGCCAGGAGAGAGAAGCUGCAGAGGACAAGGGGAAGGAUGAGCCCACACAAGGAGAAGCUCUUCCUCCAUGAUAUCCAAGGAGCAGCCCGGUGGCUGGAAUGGAGUCACUGACUUGGACCCUGAGUACCCAAAUUCUCUUAGGAGGGUCCCUGCCAGGACAGCUC